rnacentral:rRNA from 1 species
UACGGGGGGGGCAAGCGUUGUUCGGAAUUACUGGGCGUAAAGGGCGCGUAGGCGGCCUUCUAAGUCAGACGUGAAAUCCCUCGGCUUAACCGGGGAACUGCAUCUGAUACUGGAUGGCUUGAGAUUGGGAGAGGGAUGCGGAAUUCCAGGUGUAGCGGUGAAAUGCGUAGAUAUCUGGAGGAACACCGGUGGCGAAGGCGGCAUCCUGGACCAACACUGACGCUGAGGAGCGAAAGCCAGGGGAGCAAAGCGGGG